GUUUGACAUGCAUCUCUUUUCCCUCAGCCAGAACACUGAAGAUGGGUGGGUCUUCCAGCAUGACAGUGACCCAAAACAUACCACUAAGGCAACAAAGGUUUCCACAUUUCCUCUGCUGAUGAACUUGACACAUUGGCGGUAACAGCUUACAAUUCGUGUUUGGCUCAAUUUAAAAGCCAUGGACAUGAUGGCCAUGCCGACAAUGAUGAACAGCGAGCUUGCAACUUGGGACUCCACUCGUGGCUUGAAUGGCAGCCUAAAGGAGAAUCGGAUAGAAAGUGGUAUGCAUGGAGUAGCACUCAAGAUUGUAACAUUACUGGUAAGUUGUGGGAGUACAGUGAAUCUAUUAACACUUGAACUGUGUAGGCAAAUAUCUGAGAAAGAAACAAACGCCAAAAUAUAAGCAAACACAUUUGUUAGUUUUUUCUUUUUACCCACAAAUUAAGCAUCAGUGUUUCUGUAGGAUGCACACUAGAACUGUUUUGCUGCAUUUUUUUUCAGAUAUUCAUACAUUAACCCUAGAUAUUUUUAACACUACUUGAGGUUUCCAUCAUAAAGUUUGCUGUUGAUGAUUAUCUGCAAUUUGUGUGGAUUUUAUUAUUUUUUUUGCAAUAAAUAUUUUCAUUUCCAGGUUAGAUCUUAAUCAAAUGUCUCGUGCGCACAGCAUGAAGCAACAACUUUGUGUAUGUCACACAGUGGAAAUUUGUAUUUAUCUUGUAUAUUGUUUUUAUUCUGAUUUUUAGUGUUUAUUUAUGAGUGUCAUUUUAUUUGCAUGGUUUUAUUCUAUUUCUAUUGCAUGGUUUUUAGUGUUUUAUGUGACAUGGUUUGUAUCCACUGUGGACUGGCUGCACAUGGGACAAAUUAGCUGAUGGGGACCACCUGCUGAGGCAUGGGUGUGUCCAGAGGUGGCCUAUCAGCUGUGUAAAGACCUUUUAAAAGCAGGGCUAGCAGAGCGCUGAAGAGGGAAGGCCCAGAGUGGAAGAGGAAUGCUAGAUGGCCAGCGUGACACGACGGCCCAGUUGGACAGUGUGAAGGGCGACAGUGGGAGACGCUGCCUGUUAUCGACCGCCAGACAGAGGUGUACCUCUGCCGGCAUAUGUGAGUAACGCUUUUCCCACUGUCGUAUGCUGGGUGCAGCGGAGCUGGGAAAGGGUUGCCAUGGCUAUGAGCCAGGGUCUCUUCUGGGACGUGUUUUCUGGCCCCUAUUUGUGUGUUUGCAGGUUGCUGACACGAGGGGAUCCAUGGUGGCAUUGCAUGGAGGAUUCCAGUGUGAAAUGGAAGCCGGGCUGGGAUGUGGGCGGCCCAGUGAGCGGACAAGAGGGGAAUAGGAGGCUCCUCCCCGUCGGCCUAAUACAGGGCUAGCAUGGAACCAACCCAUGCAAAGGGGUUUCUGGCCCGCUGGUGGACCCAUAAUGCAUCCAUGGUUGUGGGACAUGACAUCAGGGAAUUUUAGUAAAUGUAGAAAAUUGUAUUUUUACUAGUUUUAGCUGUCAAUAACAUUUUUCCCAUGUAUGUUCUCAAGGAUGUUUUUAUUUGUGAUCCCUGGCCUAGAAAUAAACUGUUUCUGAUGAGACCUGCUGCAUCUCUGUGCCCUGGGUAUCUGACUCCCCUGCUCCCCCUUGUAUUUUAAAGAAUCUUUCUUUUUAGCGUAAAAAGUCCGCCCGUGUCACAUGUACAUGAUACACAAUACUGCAUAUUUCUUUAAAGCUUGAAUUUCAACAUAAACUAAAUACAACAGAACAAACAGAUGAGUGAAACUUGAUCCCUCAGCUAGUAAAGUCAUGUCUUAAGCAUGCUGCAAAAUACAUCUUUGUGAUAUUUUAACUGAACCUCUGCAAUCACGUAUAUAAAUACUCUCUACUUGAGAGUAUUUAUAUAUUUUUGCAUUUAAAAAGUUUUCUUUAAAAAAACA